CCAGCGGUGAUGAGCUAUUAACACGUAAGAAGAAUCCCUGCGGGUUUCUUCAAUGAAAUUUACUUGUUACGCUUGGCUUCUGAGCUUU
rfam:Medicago truncatula strain A17 chromosome 2, whole genome shotgun sequence.